UUUUCACCUAAAACAAGAAACAGUAGUGUUAUUAAGUAGUUUAGGCACGAUCACGAACUUUGAAAACUAAACAACGCGAUCUAUUGCAUUAACUGUCUUCAAGGUCCAAUGUAUGGUACAAACACUGCCGUUGGUCGUUAACGGUCAACAAAAUACGUGCAUGAAACCUGAUCGAGCUUAUAUCCUAUCCCGAUGGCUAAAUGAUGAUAUAAAGACACUUGCCUGCCAACCAGGGUAUUCAUUUAUCAUAAACGCAUCCCUCGAUGAAUCCUGUGUUCCAGCGUUCAUGCCAACUUGGCCACAAGCAACUUCACAGGCCAUCAGCAAUCUAUUUUCUUGGGAGGCUUCAGAUCUCUGAUUGGAGAUUUGACCAAAGUUAGUCACCCUCGAGGAGUGGUUGAGCCUUCAUGACACUUAAGCCAUAGAUUACAAUCUGCCCACUCGCACAAGCACGGAAUCAAUGCCAACAAUGUAGGGGGUACUAGGGCUUGGGCCAUCACAUUGAUGGAUCCACCACGAUAACCUCCAAGAUAAAGGUCAUUAUUUCAAGUAGCCAUUCUCGGAACUAUCCUCACUCCCUCCCCUACCAGCAACCGAGAAUCUGAACAUUGGAAAAGAUCCUGGUCUUACAUUGUGCUUUGGAACA